UACGUAGGGACCAAGCGUUGUCCGGAAUCAUUGGGCGUAAAGAGCGUGUAGGCGGCUUGUUAAGUCUUGCGUGAAAUCUCGGGGCUCAACCCCGAGCGGUCGUGAGAAACUGGCAGGCUAGAGUGCGGGAGAGGAGAGUGGAAUUCCUGGUGUAGCGGUGAAAUGCGCAGAUAUCAGGAAGAACACCCGUGGCGAAGGCGGCUCUCUGGAACGCAACUGACGCUGAGACGCGAAAGCGUGGGGAACAAACAGG
rnacentral:rRNA from 1 species